rnacentral:lncRNA from 1 species
CCCAGGAGAUGAAUAUAUGCCUGAGAAGAAGAACUAGUGUGGAACUGUCAGCCAGGUUUUUGAUGAGUGCUCAGACUGCUUCCUGAUCCAGCACCACAUUUACUAUAGUGGACAGAUGCUCUAGUCUCUGAUGAGGAGUUGCUAGCUGUUAGGAAGAACCUGGAAUGGGCUCCACUGCAUGAGGUUUGAAGUCUCCAGAGCAGCAAAGAGAGUGGGGAGUAGAACUCAUCAUCUUUAGGUCACUCAGCAUCGAUGGGUUGUUUGCAACCUUAGUAUACAGACAUGGAUGGUUGAACACAAACCUGUCAGGCUGAUAAAGAACUAGACAUCUACUAACGUCCUUGGAACCAUGUUCAGAUUGCUGCACAUCCUCCUGAAGAUGCCACAGAUGACAUGGUUCCUUGUGAUUGUUGUUCUCUUCUUGUUGUUGCUGUUUUCUUUUAACUUUUGAAGAGGAUACUUUAUUAGUCUGUUGCUAUGUUAGUCAUCUCCUGGCAUUAGAAACCAACAUCCCACUGUUUAAAUGUUUUACAUUUCCUACUCUUUUUGGAAAACACAACGUAUGCGCAUCAUUUUUUCCUAUUGUUUCAAAGACAUACCACUAUGUAAUUCAACUUUACAAUUGUAAACAUUUUGACCAAUAUUCACAUGAAUAUAAAUUUUAUGUGUAAAAUU